ensembl:rRNA 5S_rRNA 5S ribosomal RNA
GCCAACAGCCAUAUUAUCCUGAACACACCCAAUCAUGGAAGCUAAGCAGGGUCAGGCCCGGUUAGUACUUGGAUGGGAGACCACCUGGGAAUACCGGGUGUUGUAGGCU